rnacentral:rRNA from 1 species
AUUGAACGCUGGCGGUAUGCUUAACACAUGCAAGUCGAACGGCAGCACGGUCUGUAGUAGUACAGAUGGGUGGCGAGUGGCGGACGGGUGAGUAAUACGCAGGAAUCUGCCCUAUAGAGGGGGAUAACUCGAGGAAACUCGAGCUAAUACCGCAUAGUCGCUACGGAGUAAAGCUGGGGCAACCUGGCGCUAUAGGAGGCGCCUGCGUCUGAUUAGAUAGUUGGUGGGGUAAAGGCCUACCAAGGCGACGAUCAGUAGGUGGUCUGAGAGGAUGAUCACCCACACUGGGACUGAGACACGGCCCAGACUCCUACGGGAGGCAGCAGUGGGGAAUAUUGGACAAUGGGGGCAACCCUGAUCCAGCAAUACCGCGUGUGUGAAGAAGGCCUUAGGGUUGUAAAGCACUUUAGGCGGGGAAGAAGGUAUGUAUUUUAAGAGAUAACAUAUUUGACGGUACCCGCAGAAUAAGCACCGGCUAACUCUGUGCCAGCAGCCGCCGUAA